GGGGAAUAUUGCACAAUGGGGGAAACCCUGAUGCAGCCAUGCCGCGUGUGUGAAGAAGGCCUUCGGGUUGUAAAGCACUUUCAGUCAGGAGGAAGGUGGUGUAGCUAAUAUCUGCACCAAUUGACGUUACUGACAGAAUAAGCACCGGCUAACUUCGUGCCAGCAGCCGCGGUAAUACGAAGGGUGCAAGCGUUACUCGGAAUUACUGGGCGUAAAGCGUGCGUAGGUGGUCGUUUAAGUCCGUUGUGAAAGCCCUGGGCUCAACCUGGGAACUGCAGUGGAUACUGGACGACUAGAGUGUGGUAGAGGGUAGCGGAAUUCCUGCUGUAGCAGUGAAAUGCGUAGAGAUCAGGAGGAACAUCCAUGGCGAAGGCAGCUACCUGGACCAACACUGACACUGAGGCACGAAAGCGUGGGGAGCAAACA
rnacentral:rRNA from 1 species